GACGAACCGUGCGAACGUUAUUCGGAAUCACUGGGCUUAAAGCGCGUGUAGGCGGAUGGGAACGUCGGCCACUGAAAGCCCCCGGCUCAACCGGGGAAGCGGUGCCGGGACGGCCCGUCUGGAGGGGCGUAGGGGGACCUGGAACUUCCGGUGGAGCGGUGAAAUGCGUUGAGAUCGGAAGGAACGCCCGUGGCGAAAGCGAGGUCCUGGACGUCAUCUGACGCUGAGACGCGAAAGCUAGGGGAGCAAACGGG
rnacentral:rRNA from 1 species